rnacentral:rRNA from 1 species
GUAACAAGGUUUCCGUAGGUGAACCUGCGGAAGGAUCAUUGUCGAUAUCUCGCAAUCAGUUUGACCGGCGAACAUGUUUAUCUGACCCGGCGGGGUUGGCAUGAUCUCAUCCUCCCCGCGUCGAGGGGUUGGCACGUGUGCGGCGCGGCUUCCCCUCGACAAACACAAACCCCGGCGCCUCGUGCGCCAAGGAAUCCCAAAAAUUGUUGAGUGCGGCCCCCCGGGAGUUGGAGACAACGUCCCGCGGGUCCCGUCACCACACACGAAAAAGAAAUGACUCUCGGCAAUGGAUAUCUCGGCUCUUGCAUCGAUGAAGAACGUAGCGAAAUGCGAUACUUGGUGUGAAUUGCAGAAUCCCGUGAACCAUCGAGUCUUUGAACGCAAGUUGCGCCCGAAGCCAUUAGGCCGAGGGCAUGCCUGCCUGGGUGUCACACACUGUUACCCUCACGCAAAGGUCCACCCGUUGGCCGGCGCGUGGCGGUGUACGCUGACCUCCCGCGAGCGGUGUCUCGUGGUUGGUUGAAAAUCGAGUUCACGGUCGAGUGCGCCGUGAUAAAAUGGUGGACGGGCAGAUGCCCGAGACCGAUCACGCGCGACGCUGUCCGAUGUGACCCUCGGACCCCUGCGGCGUCUUCGGAUGCCCUUCUAGCGAGACCUCAGGUCAGGCGGGGCUACCCGCUGAGUUUAAGCAUAUC